rnacentral:rRNA from 1 species
GAGAACGCUGGCGGCACGCCUAACACAUGCAAGUCGAACGGACUUAAACGGAGCUUGCUCUUUUAAGUUAGUGGCGGACGGGUGAGUAACACGUGAGCAACCUGCCUUUCUGAGGGGGAUAACGUUUGGAAACGAACGCUAAUACCGCAUAACAUAUAUUUAUCGCAUGAUAGAUAUAUCAAAGGAGCAAUCCGCAGAAAGAUGGGCUCGCGUCUGAUUAGCUAGUUGGUGAGGUAAUGGCUCACCAAGGCAACGAUCAGUAGCCGGACUGAGAGGUUGAACGGCCACAUUGGGACUGAGACACGGCCCAGACUCCUACGGGAGGCAGCAGUGGGGAAUAUUGCACAAUGGGGGAAACCCUGAUGCAGCGAUGCCGCGUGGAGGAAGAAGGUUUUCGGAUUGUAAACUCCUGUCUUCAGGGACGAUAAUGACGGUACCUGAGGAGGAAGCACCGGCUAACUACGUG